GAAAGAAAGAAAGAAAGAAAGAAAGAAAGAAAGAAAGAAAGGAAGGAAAGAAGAAAGAAAGCAAAAGUGAGAGGGGAGGGAGAGGGAGGGAGAAAGGAAAGAAGGAAGGAAGGAAGGAAGGAAGGAAGAAAAAAAAAGCGAGUACUGGCCAUUGAUUUCUCUACACACUGACUUGCAGACUCAAUGGGAAUUGCUGUCUCAUGCCCUGAUGCAUGCUUCUCACUAGGAUGGCUAUAUCCUUAAACUAUGGUCUCUGUAUGCAGUCCAUGCUGGCCUUGAACAUAUGAUGCUCCCACCUCUUGAGUACUGGGAAAAUAAGUAUGUGUCAUCAUAUCUGACCAUGUUGAACAUCUUUUUGGAAAUCAGUUGUUCCUUAAACUUAUAUAUCAGCGUUACUAUUAUUUUCACCUCAUUGUACAUCAUCAUUGUAGUGGUGGUUUGAAUGAGAAUGGACCCCAUACGCUAAUAUGUUUGAAUAUUUGGUACCAUUUCAUGUAAAUUUGUGAAGGAGUAGUAUGUGUCACCUUGUUGGAUGAGGUGUGUCAGAAGCUUAAAACCUUUCCAAGUGUCUUUCUGCCUCCUGCUGUGGAUCAAGAUGUGAUCUCUCAGCUGCUACUUCAGCCUCUCACCUCCAUGUUCUUGUUCUGCCACCACAGACCGUAAUCUUUUUUUUUUAAUUUUUUAAUUUUUUUUGACUGUAAUCUUCUAACCACAAACCCAAUUAAAUUCUCUCUCUAUUA